ensembl:lncRNA
CAGACAUCUGCUGGAUUUAUAAUACAGCAGAUAGGGAACCGUCCCAGAGGUUCCUCGAGUGUGUGGGAGAUCACUUCCUGACACAGCUGGUGACGCAGCCAGCAAGGGGAAGCAAAAUCCUGCUGUUUGUUAACAGAGAAGGUCUUGUGGGGGAUGUCAAGGCUGGAGGCCGCCUGGGGCAAAGGGAUCGUGAGAUGCUAGAUAUCUCAAUUCUUGCUGAACCACGGAGGGGAGUCAGCAGAACUGCCACCUUGGACUUCCAGAGAGCAAACUUGAACCUCUUUAGGACCAUGGUUGAGAGGUUCCCUUUGGAAGUACUUUUGGAGGGCGUGGGAGCCCAGGAAGGCUGGCAAUACUUUCAGGAAGUAAUUUUAAAGGUGCAGGAGCUGACCAUCCCCAGGUCAUGGAAGAUGAGCUGAUGGGCAAGGAGGCUGGACUGGCUGAACAGAGACCUUCCACUGGAACUCAAGAGCAAAAUGAAAGAUUAUGGUCUGUGGAAGAGUGGGCAAGCUACUUAUGAUGAUUACAGGUCCGUAGCAAAUAUGUGCAGGGAGAAAACUAGAAAAGCCAAAGCCCAGCUAGAACUGAGCUUGGCCACCAAGGUAAAGGACAACAAUAAAUAUUUCUGUAAAUACAUCUACAGCAAGAGGAGGGCUAGGGAGAAUCUCCAUCCCUUCUUGGAUGCCGAGGGCAACUUGGUGACCAAGGAUCAGGACAAGGCUGAGGUACUUAAUGCCUUCGUUGCCUCAGUCUUUCAUAGCAAGACUCAUUACUUCCAGAGAACACAGUCCCCUGUGCUGGUAGAUAGGAAUGGGGACCCGAAUAGGCCAUGCAUAAUCCACAAUGAGAUGGUUUUGGACCUGCUCCAAAAGCUGGAUGCCCGAGUCCACGGGGCCAGAUGGACUGCACCUUACCUCGGUGCCAGGGUAGGUUAUGGGAUGGAUAAUGUUGGGAUUAAUUAAAGGUCAACCAGGGGAUCAGGCCCAGUCAAAAUGGGUUGACAAACGGUAGAUCCUGUUUGACAAAAGAACUCGCCCCACGCCACCGUGGCCAGAGGAGACUCCAGCAGCAGCAGCAGCAGGAGCAGAUCCCAUGGAGGGAGG